GUUAACUUUAUUUCAUUCAUAUUUUAACUUCCAUAAAUUGCACCUUGUAAUACAUAUAAAGUCUGGAAGAGAUCAGAAGGCAAGUUACAGCAGAUUCUUCAUAAAACUUUAUUCAUUAAAGUCAAAACAAUUCGGAGAUCAAUGACAAUAAAGUGUGAUAUGUCAUAACCAGUGACACAAUGUGCAUGUAUAUAUACAUUGAACUUUUGUGGUUUAUUAAAUGGAUGAAGUUUGAAGUUAUCAUUUUAUAAUAAUUAAAAAAAAAUCCUUUUUCAAAAAUGUUAUACCAGCUAUAUUAAACGUUUUUUCAUUCACA
rnacentral:lncRNA from 1 species